UCCACGCCUGGUUUGCAGUUCAUUGAGUCCCUGCAAGAGCUGCCUCAAAUGGCUCUUUAAUUACAGCUCUCAGCAGGUAAGUAAAACCUCCUGUAAGUCACACCGCUGUCCCACGUUUUCACAGGUUCUUCUAUACUGCUAUUGUCAGAAAGCCACCAAAAGCUUAAAAGUCACAGAAGGUAACAUUUUCACAAGGAAACCAUACUGUGUUUUUUAACCUACCACACAAACCACCAUAUUUAAAAACUCUGCAGUGCUUCUGUAUGAUUGUUCCCACGGAAUUUGAAGGAGGCAGCUGAGUUCACAUGCAGUCAACUACAUUGCUGGAUCCUUGGCCCACAUCACGGAUCUGGCUGCUGAGGCAGGCGCACACAGCAACGCCUGCCCCAGCUCUGCAGUGCGACACAGAGCCAACGAGUUCCCACCUGGAGAACAGUGCAAAGGAGAAGACAAGUUAGUAGAAGAUCAGAUUGGAACCUCCACAGGAACACAGAUUCUCACUGAAUAAAGAUAACAGGAUGAGGGACGGCCGGGAGGAGGAAGAGGGAGGAGGAUGUGCUUAAUUAUUUCAAGAAGAACCCAGUGACAUGAGCAGCACUCCCACAUCCCUUAUGAGCACAUCAUACAGGACAGCUCUGUCCAACACAGAGCCCUGGCCUACUCACCAACAACAUACAGGCAACCAUGGAGCUCACUGACGCCGUUGCCGGCUCUUCGCUGGCCCAUCUCUUUCACUUCCAUCCACUUGUCCAAAUGGGGAUCGUAUUUCUCCACGCUGGAAAGAGACGCUAUGCCAUCGUUGCCACCCACAGCGUAGACGUGGUUCUGAAAAAGUUGCAUAGGAGGAAAGUUUGUUCAGAAAACUUACGUAAUAUUUGAAAAGCAGCCCUGGAUCCUGGCCCUGACCUGAGAGGAAACAAACUCACCAUGAGGGCUACGGAGCCAACUCCCCCCCGGGGCGUGUUCAUGGGGGCUAUCGCACUCCACCGAUCGGACUCGACGUCGUACCUUUCCACAUCACUGAAGCACGUGUUGUCAUCCAGACCUCCUAUUGCGUAAAUGGGGCCCCCGAGGGAAGCAAGAGCAAUUCCUCUCCUAAGAGAACCACAGAAUCAGUGCCUCAGUGCAUAUCCUUAAAGGGGAUGGGAAAGACAUCAGGUGCAACGUUAAUUGACCGGAACACCAUUCUCUAAGGAGGGCUUGCCAGACCUCGCGAUAAAAUGAAACAACCAGCUACAGCUAAUUGCCAAAGUCUGGAGGGAGCAGAGGACAGACUGGGUGGCAGAGAGGACUACAA